rnacentral:piRNA from 1 species
UAUUUCUCUCAGUAUACCUUC